GCUGACAGCGCGGGAGAGUUCGGCGCGAUUCGCUUGCGGAUCGCACCGGCGCCGAAGGAGCAACCGCCCCGGAAUCUCUCAGGCAAAAGGACCGCGCAGCGUCG
rnacentral:ncRNA from 1 species